GAGACAGAGAUUGAUCUUGAUGUACAGUGCCAUUUGAAAAUCUCAAAACUAAGUAAGUUGUUCCCCUUCAGCUACAUCAGGGGAGUAUUCAUCAAAUAACAGUCACUAGUUGUGCUGGGAAAAUAGUUGAUUAAUUGAGCCAAACCUAUCUCUGCUACCAAGCAUUGUAGCUGGCGUUUGCUUCUUCUGGAUUUGAUCCCCCAGCUGGCACCUGGCUCAGACUUAAUUAAUGCUGCCUGUUCUUGUCUGAGUUUCCAUGAACUUAUAAAUACAAGUUGUUUUUGUAAAUUGAGUCCCAAACCCAUAUGUUUAUAAGAGC
rnacentral:lncRNA from 1 species